GACAACAGACAUCAGCUCGAACGAAUAC
rnacentral:sRNA from 1 species